rnacentral:antisense_RNA from 1 species
GAUGGGCGUGUCUCCAUGGCAUGGGUUCUGCCACUGCCUCUUCCUCUCACCUCACAACGCAGGGCUGCCACGUGUUCCCAACAGCAAGAGGAGUUUGGGGAUCCAUAAAGACGUUUCCCAGCAUGAAGACACAGAGCUGAGCUUGAGAUGAGAACUUUGGAGCUGGAAGUGGCCUCAGGAAAGGCCCUAGAAAACAAGAUGCGGAUGCCCCUUGUCUGAAGACAGGAUCAGGAUGCUCCCAGGCAGGAUAUUCCUGGGAAGAAGUGUAGGGUCCCCGUUUUAUGUUUCAGAACCACAGCAUUCCCAAAGAUCAGAUGGGAAGAACCUGGUGUAAACUCAAAGACAGAUUCUGGAAGACCUCCCUCUUCUCUCCUGUUAUGUGCGUGAGAUGAAGUCAGGUAUAUCUCCAAACGCUAUCCCUCCCCCCUCCCCUGACUGGUGUCUUUAUAAGAGGAAAAUGUCACAUGAAGACAGAAACACACACGGAAGGUGGCCACGUGGAAGAUGGAGGGAGAGACUGAAUUAUGGUGCCACAAGCAAAGGAACACCUGGGGCU